CUCUCUCUCUCUCUCUCUCUUCUCUCUCUCUCUCUCCCUCUCUCUUCUUCGGUUAACUCCGCUUGUUUCUCGACAAAAUGGCGCCGGAGGUCGCGCGCUCACGUCGCGGCCUUUCCCCUCCCCGUUUCCAUUUCACCAUUCGCUGCCUGCACGGGGCGGGAGUCCUUGGACCUGGACCAAUCACGCUUCCAGACUUGUGACUUAUAUCCAAUCAGCGACGCGGGACCGCGGAUUUAAACCAAUCACAUGCUAUCACUCGAGGAAAGUAAGGAAGAAGCCCGGCUCUUUCUAUCAAGCACCAAUCCAAACUAAUCUUUCGCGGGCCUUGGCCAAUGGCAGCUCACCCGUCCCCAGGGAGCUGGAGUCAGACGGCUCGCGCCUGCGUUCGUGAGUCAGACCAAUGAGAGUGCGCUUAUACUUCCAUUUGGGGCUUUUCGGACAUCCCGCCUGCUCUCGAGAAUUUCGACCAAUAAGAUCGCGGCGCCGCAUCCCCGAGCAACAAUAAAUGAGGAGGAGGGAAGCGGGGGAGAUACAGGGAGAAUAAAAAUGACCACAGGCGGGAAUUUCUUCAGCACCCACAGCAUUUUUCUCUCUUCCCUUCUUUCAAGAGUAAUACAUCUCAAGAGUCCCCAUUCAAGAGACCAGAGUGACCAUCUGGAUCUCUCUCUUCCUCUUCUCCUCUUGAAAUACUGAGAGACAUCCCCUCCUAAGCAACCUCCUUACAAAUACCUUCUUUUGAUUGCUCCCCACCUCCGGACUACAUUUCCCAUAGUGCAACGCAACCUCGGGCAAAGGAGGGUUGCGGACCGAGUAUUUGCGUGUUGCAUUUUGGGACUCGUAGUUCCCGCAGAGGUGAAAAGUUGUAAGGGGAGCAGUCCUUGGAGCGAGGCGUGCUGGGAGCUGUAGUCUGUUGUGCUUUACACCUGGCCUUUAAAGAGAAAGGUUCCAUGCUGCCCUAGUUUCCCCAGGACAUACCUGUCUCCCCCUAUCCAGUCCAGGUGGGAGUAAGGGCCUCCUCUUUCUAAAUGACCAUAAGCACCGUCAGCGACUGAUCAGCUGGUCAAAGCCAGUGGGGACCGCCCCAAAGUUCCAGGAGUGGGAAAGUUAGAAUUGAGAGCACUCGGGAAACCUCCCGGAGUCCAGUUCAGUUCCUCAGGCCCCCGCGGGCUUACUCGGGAGGAGCUAACCAGAGGGAGCAUCAGGCACAAAGCUCUUAGCCGCCACACCUUGCGGCAGAGCCAACUCCUCCAAGCAUUUCUGCCCCUGAGAACGAAGCCUCCGAGAAGGAACUCCACCCUAACAUCAUCAGUGCCGAGAUCUAAUACUUCCCCAAGUUACUCUGAUCCCUCAGCCCUCGCCUCCCUCCAAAAGUCCAUAUACAGUCUUCGUAUUCACCAGGAAAAUUCUUAGAACUUGCCUUCAACCCAGUCUUCCCUCCUUCACUUUUGUUAUAAACAUUUCCUUUGCCUGGAAAAAAUAGCGGCAUUUGUGUAGUGCUCUGAGAUUCUCGAAAACACCCCACGCGUAUUAUCGCAUUUGAUGCUAAUCUACAACCCUGGGAAGUAGAUGCUGGUUUUGUCUCCAUUUUACAGAUGAAGAAACGGAGGCAGACAAGCAGUGAAGUGAUUUGACCAAGAAACACCUGAGGCUGGUUUUGAAUUGAGGUGUUUCCAACUUCAGAAAGGAGUGAGAAGGAAGAGAGUUCCUGCAGAAGGCAAGACUUGUGCUGACUCUUGCAGAAGUCUAAGAAACCUAAAAGGUUGAAGAGGAUGGGACAAUCAGUGCAUAGUUACAAAGGAAGCAGAUUCUUUCUUCCAAAGAAUUCCAGAGUUGGGGAGGGACCUAAGAGUCGAAAGAGACCAACCCAGAUUUGGAAGAUGAAAUCUGGUCCGACCUUUGAAUGGAAAUCCUUUCAACAAUAUAACCAAAAAGUGACUAUUCUGCCUCCGACUGAAAAGCAACUACUUAAACAAAUUCUUCUUUUGAAGAAUUUUAUUGUGGGAAGUUUUUCUGUGGAUCACAACUCAAUCUGCCUCUCUAUCAACUUGGAAUCAUAACUUUAUGUGGAAACCAUAGGGAACUACAGAAGCUUUCAGAGCAGAGGAGUAACAUGAUCAGUUCUGCUUUAAAAAAGUCAGUCUGACAGCAUUGGCAAUGGAGGGGAGAAAUUUGGGGCAAGGUGAUCAUACAGAGGAGGCAAGAGAGAUGAGGACCUGAACUAAGGUGUGACUAGAGAGAUGGGUGUGGAACAGGGAUCUGGUAAAUGUUUAACAAUCUGCUAGAGAAAGGGAAUGCAGGACACACUUUUAAGUUUAAUCUACAAUAGCCAAUCCACAAAACAAUAAACCAAGUCCU